rnacentral:rRNA from 1 species
UACGUAGGGGGGCAAGCGUUGUCCGGAAUUAUUGGGCGUAAAGCGCGCGCAGGCGGUCCUUUAAGUCUGAUGUGAAAGCCCACGGCUCAACCGUGGAGGGUCAUUGGAAACUGGGGGACUUGAGUGCAGAAGAGGAAAGCGGAAUUCCACGUGUAGCGGUGAAAUGCGUAGAGAUGUGGAGGAACACCAGUGGCGAAGGCGGCUUUCUGGUCUGUAACUGACGCUGAGGCGCGAAAGCGUGGGGAGCAAACAGG